rfam:Myotis lucifugus cont2.7315, whole genome shotgun sequence.
GGCAGUUCUCGGGUAAUGCACCCCGAAAUCGGGCUCCCUCCUCUCUGGUUCUGGGUGCAUCACCGAAAAACCACA